rnacentral:rRNA from 1 species
UUUUAUAAGGGAAGAAACCCCUGGAUGCGUCCGGGGCUGACGGUACCUUAUGAAUAAGGAUCGGCUAACUUCGUGCCAGCAGCCGCGGUAAGACGAAGGAUCCAAGCGUUGUCCGGAUUUACUGGGUUUAAAGGGUGCGUAGGCGGGGUGCUAAGUCAGUGGUGAAAGCCCGCAGCUCAACUGCGGAACUGCCAUUGAAACUGGCACUCUUGAAUACGGUGGAGGUAGAUGGAAUGUAACAUGUAGCGGUGAAAUGCUUAGAUAUGUUACAGAACACCGAUUGCGAAGGCAGUCUGCUACACCGUGAUUGACGCUGAGGCACGAAAGCGUGGGGAGCAAACAGGAUUAGAUACCCUGGUAGUCCACGCCCUAAACGUUGAUUACUCGCUGUUGGCGAUC